AAACUUCAUUUAACCUACCUUCAACUUAGAUUACUCAAAAAUUAAGUAAUCUCUUCCUUCGUCAAUUGAGUUAGUGUCGUCUUUUGUCUCUCUUCAAUGCUUAUGCAACCCUUCGAUGUGCUUUCUCCUCUAAUGCAAUGUCCUAAAGAAACAUCUAAUGCAAUGUCCUAAAGAAACAUGAGUCGGCAAAGAGAUUAGAGCUUUGGUCCAAAUCUCUUUGUUGGGGAAGAGAUUUGAACUGUUGGCCUGUGUUUCUUGGGUGAGAAAUAGUCACGGAUGUAUAUCUAUAAAUCUCUGAUGAAGAGAUUCUCAACCGAUGGUGGCUAGGGACAGAAAAAAAAUAAGAGUGGAGAAAUAUGUAUUUUUUAAAAUUAAAAAUAUUUAGAUAGAUGAAAAUGAAAUAAAGUUUAAAUUUUUUAAUAUAAUUAUUAAAAUGAUGGUUUUAUUUUUAAUUAAAAUUAACACAUAAAACGGUUUAAAUUUUUAAAACUGGACAAAAUAUAUAUUUAGAUAUAUACAUUAAAGCUUGGGUGGCCACCGAAAGUGUGGCCGAAGUAAGAUACAUCAACGGCACCAACACCAUCCUGGGAAAAAAAAUCAGAUAUCGGACAAGGGCAAGGCAACAAUCUCUGUUUUUACGAAUGUCGAGAUUAUUUUCCCGCUUUCAUAUCACUGCUGCUCUCCUGGUCCUGGUCUUACGAUAUCUUAAAAUGUUAUCAAUUUAGUUAUCUCAUCGAGGCAACCAAAAACUACUCAGUGGAUUACGACUCGGGACUCCGCUCGUUUGGGUUUCACUAGUAAGCGGAAAAAGUGAGUUUAGUGCGUUUUCUGUUGUGUUGCUUUUUACCGAGUUCCAAGUCAAUGGUGUUGGUAGCAUUUGCGGAUCUUUUCAUCGUUUUCUUUUGUGGGCACUCCAAAGUUUUUGCCUUUGACAGUCUUCUUUCUCCUAAAGGCGUGAACUAUGAUAUGAAGCUACAUGUAAUGGGAGGUUGGGAUAUAAAUUCUGUGGAUCCAUGCUUUUGGAACCUGGUUGCUUGGUUGCUCGACUGAGGGUUUCCUCAUUUCCCUGCUUGAAAUGGCUCGUAUGGAUUUAUCUAGAACUCUUUCUUUCUCCCAGUAUUGGCAACUUAACUCUCCUAAGAACAGUGGUUGUUGUAUAAUAAUCAGUUAAGUGGUUCUAUCCUAGCUGAGAUAGGGAUGCUUUCUCGACUUCAAACGCUUGACCUUUCCGGUAACCGAACUUGUUGGAGAAAUUCCAAGUUCUUUGGGGUUUCUUACUCAUGUAACUUACUUUUUUUUCAGGCGGCUUGACAAGAACAAUUUAUCUGGUCCAAUUCCUCCCCUUGUAGCCAAUCUCACAAGUCUUUCCUUCUUGAAGUAUGUGUUUCAUUUUAACUGUGUUUGCUCUCUCUUAGAUUGUGUCAUAUAACAAUUAUGAUUUAUACAUUUAAAUCCUCUGCUAGGAUUUAUCUUUCAAUAAUUUCGGUGGUCCAACACCCAAAAUAUUAGCAAAAGCAAAUAGGUGAGAUAUUUGGUAGAAAGAGAUUUUGAUCAUAAAUUUAUUGUUCUUUGACUAAUUGUUAGCCUGUUAUCAUCUAUUCACUAUCCUUCAUUGUUGGCAUGCUGGGAUUUCAUUGGAGUUACAAAGAUGUGUGAUGCAGUAGAACAUACGGUGAACAAUUGGUGUGUACUUAAGGAUUGUGCUUUAUCUAAUGCAACAAUUUCCUGAAUUUCUUGUUUAUGAAUUCUUCACUAAUGAAUCAAAAUGAAAAUGCAACUUGCAGUGGUAUGUUUAGAUUUUGAUAGUAACUAAAGGGAAGAUUAAGUCUGCUACAAUGGCCAUUUACUUAUUUAAUGAUAAACUGAUGACAUUUUGAUAGGCCUUAAAGUCUGUGCGUUUUGAUCUAGUUUUACUGGGAACAACUUUCUUUGCACUUCUCCAUCUGAGCAAAUUUGCCUGGGUGUUUCUAAACCAUCAAAGGAGACAUGUUUAACUCCAAAAGCCGGUGGGUAUUGCCGAUGGAUGAUUUCUGUUAAUGUAUGCAUCAGCUGCAAUUUUGUUGUUUCCGUGAUGUUGCUUGUUUGUUAGGUGCAUUGUGCUGCAAGAUCAUGAAUUUGAUAUUGUUCAUGAGAAGAGGUUCUCACUUCAUAAAUUACAAAUUGCUACUGUAACCUUAGUGCCAAAAACAUUCUGGGGCAGGGAGGAUAUAGAGUAGUUUAUAAAAAUGUCCUCCAAAUAGGACAGUGAUGGCAGUUGAAAGGUUAAAAGAUCCAAAUUUCACCUGAGAAAUGCAGUUUCAGACUAAAGUUGAGAUGAUUGGAUUAGCAUUGCAUCGGAAUCUGUUAUGCAUGAAUGGCUUCUGUUUGAUGCCUGAGGAAAGGUUGCUUGUUUAUCCUCAUAUGCAAAAUGGGACUGAGUGUUGCUGCUUGCUUGAGAGAAAUCUUAUCUAUAAAUAUGAUCGGAAUAGUUGAUAGAUUCUCAUCUGCAUUCUUCCACAAAUUAAACACAUCUCCAGCCCAAGGAAGGAAGAAUGAUACCAGUUAGAACCUUAUACGAAGAAAGGAGGCUAGAAUUGCUAGUAGAUAGGGAUCUGAAGGGACAAUUCAAUUUAAUGGUAUUGGAAAAUGCUGUAGAGUUGGCUCUGCUGUGUACUCAGUCACAUCCUAACCUUUGCGCAAAGAUGUGAGCAGUUUUGAAGGUCCUGGAAGUUCUUGUUGAGCAGGCAGGAAUUGAAGAGGCACAAGGUGGAUCCAAUCUUGGCAAGGCAAGACAGUGAUGCCCAAGAAGAAUCAGAACUUUCUGAACCACAGUAACAAAAUCAUUUCUGCAUCUAACUGUAAAUGAGUUUCUCAUCUGACUAACCUUCAGUUUUUUGCAGAACUCUUAUAUAUAUAUAUAU